GGGGAGUUAGCUCAGUUGGUAGAGCGCGACAAUGGCAUUGUCGAGGUCAGGGGUUCGACUCCCCUACUCUCCACCA
rnacentral:tRNA from 2 species